UACAGAGGUCUCAAGCGUUGUUCGGAUUCAUUGGGCGUAAAGGGUGCGUAGGCGGCGCGGUAAGUCGGGUGUGAAAUCUCGGAGCUUAACUCCGAAACUGCAUUCGAUACUGCCGUGCUUGAGGACUGGAGAGGAGACUGGAAUUUACGGUGUAGCGGUGAAAUGCGUAGAUAUCGUAAGGAAGACCAGUGGCGAAGGCGGGUCUCUGGACAUUUCCUGACGCUGAGGCACGAAGGUCAGGGGAGCAAACGGG
rnacentral:rRNA from 1 species